AAAACUUUAAGUUAAUUUAAACUAUUAAUCUUCAAAAUUAAAAAUAUUUUAAAAAUAAGUUUUU
rnacentral:tRNA from 1 species